GACGAACGCUGGCGGCGUGCUUAACACAUGCAAGUCGAACGGAAAGGCCCUGCUUUUGUGGGGUGCUCGAGUGGCGAACGGGUGAGUAACACGUGAGUAACCUGCCCUUGACUUUGGGAUAACUUCAGGAAACUGGGGCUAAUACCGGAUAGGAGCUCCUGCUGCAUGGUGGGGGUUGGAAAGUUUCGGCGGUUGGGGAUGGACUCGCGGCUUAUCAGCUUGUUGGUGGGGUAGUGGCUUACCAAGGCUUUGACGGGUAGCCGGCCUGAGAGGGUGACCGGCCACAUUGGGACUGAGAUCCGGCCCAGACUCCUACGGGAGGCAGCAGUGGGGAAUAUUGCACAAUGGGCGGAAGCCUGAUGCAGCAACGCCGCGUGCGGGAUGACGGCCUUCGGGUUGUAAACCGCUUUCGCCUGUGACGAAGCGUGAGUGACGGUAAUGGGUAAAGAAGCACCGGCUACCUACG
rnacentral:rRNA from 1 species